rnacentral:ncRNA from 1 species
AAUGAAAGUAUCAACGUGAAUUUCCUACACCAAAAAGUCAAGGUAAACCGCUGAACCACUUUCAUGCUUGGGAAUGUGAACUGAAACUGUUCACAUCAAC